GAAGCGGUGUUGAGCAAUAAAUUAAAAAUGAAAGAAAAACACUUCAACUUGAGACGAUAUCGUGAGGACGGGGAGACAACUUUUUUAAAACCAGCCGUGGGCGAUGUUCAAUAUGUCCGCCAUUUUUAAUUUUUUUUACAAACAAAACCUUGUUUUCCUAACUUCAAACGCACAGUUUUUGAGACAAUCGCCUAACAAUUAACGAACCUCGAAUUUUUACCGUACAAAAAAGGGGGCAAAAACCAAGUUACCGACGGCUCCACUCAUAGAGGUUGUGCCAAUAUGCACGGUAUAUGGGCAGUUGGCGGAUCAUCUAGGGAGUGUUCUGUGAAAAUUUUAUCAAAAACAAACCCACAGAUUUGGAGAAAAUUGCUUUACAUUGCUUGCACGGUACCUCAUUGGAAAGGGCAUUUUUUAAACUACUUUAUGAAUUAGUUAAGGCAAAAUCAAGCCCACAGAUUUCGAACAAAUCAAGUGGUUACAAAGCUGUCGUCUUCUUGCACGGUCACACCGGCCACCCUUACUUCCCGAGAUAUUUCCCCUAUGGGGACAUACGUAGCUUCCAUACGAUUUCUAAAUAAUCAAUUGCAGCUCUCACGGAGGUUGUACCAACUGGCAUGGUACCUUAUUGGAAAGGGCCGUCUUUAAACUAAUUUCUGAAUUAAUUACAGCAAAAGUAAACCCACAGAUUUCGAGAAAAUCAAAUGAUUUCAAAGCUACCGUCUUCUUGCACGGUCACACCGGCCAGCAUUAUUUUCCAAGACAUUUGCCCUAUGGGAAAACACGUAGCUUCCAUACGAUUUCUAAAUAAAUAAUUACAACUCUCACAGAGGUUGUUCCAACUUGCACGGUACUUCAUUGGGAAGGGCAACUAAUUAAUGUAUAAAAUCAAACCCACAGGCAUUUUCCAUAAAAAAGUAAUUAUAUCGAUAUAUCGGCAAGGGCAGGUCACGACAAUAAAUUAAGCCAUCUGGCAACUCUUUAAUUUUGCGGAAAGCAUUCCCCGUUACUUUAGAAAAAAAAACACGAAGAGAAAAGAUAUAAAACUCAACUUUAAUAAAUUAAUCAAAAAAAUUUCAUGUCACAAGAGGCCAACUGUUUAGGCUUCUUGCAUCCAAGGUAUAUUUUAUUGCAGCGUGUCGAAUGAGAAUAUUUAAGAAGUGUAUUUAUUUAGUCAAAUUUACAAGCAUUUUUCGUAAUAAAAGUUGAUAUCACAAGUUUUUUUUGUUUAUGAAUGUGAUAUUUCUCCGGAAUCGCCUUCAAGGGGGUUGAAUUCUUACAUGCGUGCAUAAGUUCGUGUUCGAUUUUAUGUGGAAACUUUCCCACUUUUUCAAACGAGAUAAAAUCCC